UUUGUGUCCUGGAGAACCACAUUUUCAGGAAAUAUUAGUUUAUAUUUUAAACCAAAGAGUCAAAUGAAUAAGGCAGAUGAACUGAGAGCACCCAUUAACUUCACCCACUAAUGGGAACAAGAGCUGAUUGAGACUGUCAUGAGACAGGUUAGUUUUACCCUACUGAUGAUGUGCUGUGAAAC